rnacentral:rRNA from 1 species
GAUUUCUGGUAUGAUGCGCCUGACCCGCCUCUUCGGAGUGUGAGCGUCGGUGCGCGUCUGCCAUCAUUGUAGUUACUUAUCUGUGGCCUUUAUUGGCUGGAGGUUCGUGCCUACAUCGUUUACUUUGAAAAAAUUAGAGUGUUUAAAGCAGGCUUUUGCUCUGAAUAUAUUAGCAUGGAAUAAUAAUAUAGGACUUCGGUUCUAUUUUGUUGGUUUCUAUUACUGAAGUAAUGAUUGAUAGGGAUAGUUGGGGGUGCUAGUAUUCAGCGGCCAGAGGUGAAAUUCUUGGAUUCGCUGA